AACGAACGCUGGCGGCAGGCCUAACACAUGCAAGUCGAGCGAAGCCUUCGGGCUUAGCGGCGGACGGGUGAGUAACGCGUGGGAACGUGCCCUUUGGCACGGAAUAGCCCCGGGAAACUGGGGGUAAUACCGUAUGUGCCCUUCGGGGGAAAGAUUUAUCGCCAAAGGAACGGCUCGCGUUGGAGUAGGUAGUUGGUGGGGGAAUGGCCUACCAAGCCGACGAUACAGAGCUGGGUUGAGAGGAUGAUCAGCCACACUGGGACUGAGACACGGCCCAGACGCCUGCGGGGGGCAGCAGUGGGAAAUCUUUUGCAAUGAGCGAAAGCUUGACAAAGCCAUACCGCGUGAAGGAUGAAGGUUGAGUAAUUGUAAACUUCUUUUGUCGGAGGAGAAAUAAUGACGGUAUCCGAAGAAUAAGCAUCGGCUAAUUCUGUGCCAGCAGCCGCGGUAACAC
rnacentral:rRNA from 1 species